UACGUAGGGUGCAAGCGUUAAUCGGAAUUACUGGGCGUAAAGCGUGCGCAGGCGGUUCGCUAAGACAGAUGUGAAAUCCCCGGGCUUAACCUGGGAACUGCAUUUGUGACUGGCGGGCUAGAGUAUGGCAGAGGGGGGUAGGAAUUCCACGUGUAGCAGUGAAAUGCGUAGAGAUGUGGAGGAAUACCGAUGGCGAAGGCAGCCCCCUGGGCCAAUACUGACGCUCAUGCACGAAAGCGUGGGGAGCAAACAGG
rnacentral:rRNA from 1 species